AUUGAUGUGGUAUCGUUAAUACUUUUCACAAUUAAAAUUUAAUAAUAAAUAUAUAUAAGAAAAUAAAUAAUUUCUGCGAAUGUAUCAAUUUAAAUGUAAAAAUGCUAAGAAGUUCCUUAAAACAUCGAUAUACGUAAGUUAACGUAACAAGGAAAGUCAUAACGUUUAACUCCCCGCGAACAAAACAGUCUGUACCCCAAUAUCGAUAACUACCCAAUUGUGCGGGCUCCAGAGGUUCGUUUCUGAUAUAAUCAGGGAAUACGCAGGGGGUGCUACUAAUUGUAAUCGUAUAAUACAGUCGAGGGGUGACGAGCAUCGCAAAGAAUUGAUUCUGGUUACGUUAAUAUAAUCAGAAAUUCAAGACCCGCUCGUCCCUUUCCUUAUGAAAUAUGUACUAUGGGAGAUGUUUGUAUUCGCAUCUUUUUAUUGACCAUCCAACGAUCAUGAAAACUCAUGCAAAUAUUUCUCGCGCCUCAGAAUUUUUAGAUAAAUUAUGAAGUUUUUAUGAAUAUGAAUAAGAAAAAUGUUUUUCUAGCAAUAAAAAUUAUAAUGCAUUUCAUCUAUUGGAACUAAUAGAGAAUUGCAAUGAAAUGAGAGCAGUUCAGCGGCAAUGUAUUGAAUAUCAAAGAUAAGAAUAGAAGAA